AAUAGCAGUUUCAUAUUUUUCAGAGAUCUAAUUCCAUAUAUUUUCACAGAAAUUAGUUUCACAACUUGUAACAACACAUUGAAAUAUAUUGCAGGGAAGUAAUUUCAUACAUUUCAAUACAUAUAUGACCGAAAUAAAAAAUUACAUAUAUGACAAAUAGCAGUUUCAUAUUUUUCAGAGAUCUAAUUUCAUAUAUUUUCACAGAAAUUAGUUUCACAACUUGUAACAACACAUUGAAAUAUAUUUCAGGGAAGUAAUUUCAUAUUUCCCAAUACAAAACUCACUUAAAUAACAAAUGCCAGAUAAGAGGAACAACAGUUUCAUAUAUUUCAGAGAAGUAAUUUCAUAUAUUUUCACAAAAAUUAGUUUCACAACUUGCAACACCACAUUGAAAUAUAUUCCAGGGAAUUUCUCAAUACAUAUAUCACUGAAAUAACAAAUGACAGAUAAGAGAAAUAGUUGUUUCAUAUUUUUCAGAGAUCUAAUUCCAUAUUUUUUCCAGUUUCACAUUGAAAUCUCACAGAAAUUAGUUUUGCAACUUGCAACAACACAUUGAAAUCCCAGUUUCACAUUUUUUGCACAUCUCAACUACACAUAGCUAUUUCAAUUCAAAUCUCACUGAAAAACAUUCCAAUCUCACUGAAAAUCAUUCCAAAUCUCACUGAAAGUCAUUCAAAUCUCACUUCGACAUACUGAAGUAAUCCAGUUUCACCAGAUUGAAAUAUAAAUUUCACAUUGUGCCACAAACCAUUUCACAUUAGUUUGUUUGACAACUAGCAACACCGCAUUCAAAUAUAUUACAGGGAAGUAAUUUCAUAGAUUUUGGUCUCUUUCAAAAAACUACAACACAUGCUCUCUGUCACAAACAUUCAAAAAUCCUGAAAUUGAAGUAGCAGAGGAGGCCGACGAUCUGGUGGUAAAGAAACAUAGAGUGUUCAAAUCAUGCUAAAUAAAUCUGAAAUCGUGAAAUACAUAUGGAGAGAGGUUAGGGGAGAUGGGAUUCAUGACUCACCAGAUCCGGAGACACCAACGGCGACCACGGCUGCCGGGGCAGCAAGGAUGCCGGUGGAUGGGCUUCUGGUUGGCGGGAUCGAGGAACCUCGCCGGAUCAGCCACCCCCCGACGGCCAGUGGAUCCGGCCCCUGCUCCUCGUCGGCCUCAUGGUACCGCCGCGUCGCCGCCGGCCUUCUAUGUGCCCCCCGCGGUAGGUGCCGGCAGUGGAACCCGAAUCCGGUGUCGGAUGUUGGUGGAGAAGGCGGAUCUCGCGGCGGCCAUAGCCGGGAUUAACCACCGAGCCCCGUGGAACGAACUGACGAGAGAUGGGGUGGGGAGAAAAGAGAUCGAUGAGGGAAGGAGACAACGGCCUGGGGGUGAUAUCCUGUCUGUCGUG
rnacentral:lncRNA from 1 species